rnacentral:lncRNA from 1 species
CUUUGAGAUACUUGUCAUAGCACUACAGACAAAUGCGAGGUAAUGUGUGUUAGAAAAGGAGGAUGAAGGCUUAAAAUAAAAUUUUAUAGUUUGUGUGAUUGCUGAAACGUACAAUAAAUUCCCCAAUGCCUGGAAAAACCCAGCCUUGAGUUUGUGGAUAAGAGGGGUAUCUUAGCUCUCCUGCUGGACCAAGCCCUACUUCGAUAUCUAUGAUCACCCCAGCUUUUAAAAAGUCUGACAUGUUCUCCCUGAAGCUCUUCAUGUAAUCAGUAUACAUCUAGAUAGAUCAAGAAAUAUUAUUUCACCAUCUAGGAAGCAAAAUCACUAAAUUAUUCAGAUCGAACUUAUAUACAUCUAUGUGCAAUGCCACUGUUUUCAUAUAUUGAUUAUAGCUUGAAGAUCAGGUUGGCAAAAAUGUGGUCAUUCAACUUACUUCGAUCGAAGUUCGUCCGUGAAACAGAGGCUGGUGAUCUACCCCAAUACUGAGGUACUCUUCGUUUCUUUCGCCUUCUUUACUUGUGUAAAAGAUAUCAGGGUCUGAUUCUCCAACAUCUCGCACCCACUGGGGGAUCGGGAUGUUAACAACAUCUCCUACAUUGCCACCGCAUUGGUGGAAUGACAUUAUGGCUUGUAUUUUCAGUUCAAUUUGUUGAAUGAGUUCAAACAAGCUCCUGUAAGCACUCCAGUCAUACUGCUUAGGGCCCUUAGACUCUAUGAUCCCCCACCACACAUCCACCAUUACACCAUCGACACCGGUUGCUUUGAGCUCCUUGAGCUGCUUCUUCAGCUCAUCUUUACCUUCGAAAACAUUAUCAGCUGUAACAACUCCCAACUGUUACAUUGCAGAAAAGGUUAGUGAGUUUAAUAUGCUUAUUAUUGAUCUUAGUGUGCAAAUCCUGAACAAGUAAAUGAAAGAAAUGGUUUAUGUGACUUACUGGGAGCAUUACGUAAAUGGGCACAUAAUUUGCCAGCAUGUUCUCAUCGUAAGCUUUAGAACCCUGCAUUUUCUUCAGGUUACAGAAGACUGGUAUAAGAACAAUGGAAAUUGCUUUGAAGGUGUGAUGAAAAUUGCUGUGGAAUCCUGCUCUUUUUAUAGCUAGAACAAAGGUGAAAAUUUGGUCUUUGCAUGAAAUGGAGUGCAUUAUGUCUACUGUACGUCGGACCCACUUGUUUAGAUAACACUUUGCCUGAGAUAAGAACCCAUGGCGUUAUCUUUGCAUGCAUAGUUUCUACUGGACCACAGAUGAAGGCCACGUUGCCCCAUUCCUUGCUGUGCAGAAAUUGAAGGGAUUUGACAAAUAUUGGGGUCAUUCAGGACCAUCUCAGGUUCCUUGGGCCUGGACUUUGCAGCUAUCAUAUAUUUAGAAGACGACAAAAGUAUUUAUUGGAGGGUCACUACAUAGAUAUAUGCACAUGCACAUUCCAUAUGAUUACUCGUGUACCCUGUGAAUAUCUUUUAUUUCUUUCAACUCUUAUUAUUAUAUCACACAAUUUUAAAAAUCAACUCAAUAUAUUAUAUCUCACCAAACUCGAUACAUGAAUUUAUGCUAUCAUAUUAUAAUCAUUAUAUAUAUUAUUA